UGGUGGAGUGAUUUGUCUGGUUAAUUCCGUUAACGAACGAGACCUCGACCUGCUAAAUAGUUUGAUGAAUUCUUCGGGAUUCAUAUAUCACACGACUUCUUAGAGGGACUAUCGGUGAUUUAGCCGAUGGAAGUUCGAGGCAAUAACA
rnacentral:rRNA from 1 species